GUAAAGAGCUCGUAGGCGGUUUGUCGCGUCUGCCGUGAAAGUCCGGGGCUCAACUCCGGAUCUGCGGUGGGUACGGGCAGACUAGAGUGAUGUAGGGGAGACUGGAAUUCCUGGUGUAGCGGUGAAAUGCGCAGAUAUCAGGAGGAACACCGAUGGCGAAGGCAGGUCUCUGGGCAUUAACUGACGCUGAGGAGCGAAAGCAUGGGGAGCGAACAGGAUUAGAUACCCUGGUAGUCCAUGCCGUAAACGUUGGGCACUAGGUGUGGGGGACAUUCCACGUUUUCCGCGCCGUAGCUAACGCAUUAAGUGCCCCGCCUGGGGAGUACGGCCGCAAGGCUAAAACUCAAAGGAAUUGACGGGGGCCCGCACAAGCGGCGGAGCAUGCGGAUUAAUUCGAUGCACCGCGAAGAACCUUACCAAGGCUUGACAUGAACCGGAAAUACCUGGAAACAGGUGCCCCGCUUGCGGUCGGUUUACAGGUGGUGCAUGGUUGUCGUCAGCUCGUGUCGUGAGAUGUUGGGUUAAGUCCCGCAACGAGCGCAACCCUCGUUCUAUGUUGCCAGCGCGUUAUGGCGGGGACUCAUAGGAGACUGCCGGGGUCAACUCGGAGGAAGGUGGGGACGACGUCAAAUCAUCAUGCCCCUUAUGUCUUGGGCUUCACGCAUGCUACAAUGGCCGGUACAAAGGGUUGCGAUACUGUGAGGUGGAGCUAAUCCCAAAAAGCCGGUCUCAGUUCGGAUUGGGGUCUGCAACUCGACCCCAUGAAGUCGGAGUCGCUAGUAAUCGCAGAUCAGCAACGCUGCGGUGAAUACGUUCCCGGGCCUUGUACACACCGCCCGUCAAGUCACGAAAGUU
rnacentral:rRNA from 1 species